ACCACAGAGGCCUCGCGAAGAAGGGGCGGCGCGAAGGAGGGCCCGCAGGGCGGCGCGGCCCGAGGACGGCGGGGCUGAGGCGGGUCUGUCAGGGGCGGGAAGAUGGGGGGCAAAGACGGGGCGCGACCCUGUCCGGCCUUGGUUUGUACGCAGUCCCGGAGCAGAAGAGGCCGUCGGUUCCUCAGAGCAUGUGCAGUUCUUGCUUCUUCCCCCAUGCAAGGUGGCAUGGAGGGGAUUCCAGCUCCUCUUUCUUGAAAUCGCCGGCACUUAUUUCCUUCAGGGAAGUUUUUAGUGUGGGAUGUUGUCUUGUUUUCUUACUAUUUUUUUUGUUGGGAUCCGCCCGGAGUGGCUGGGUCAGCCCAGUCAGAUGGGCGGCAUAUAAGUAAUAAAUUAUUCUUAUUAUUAUUUUUAUCAGCAGCCCCGACUCGGCUUUUUUUAAAAAGGUCCCUGCCACUGCCUCUCAGAUUUGCCAUAUCAAAGAGAUAUGGGAUUAUCCAUGUUGUUUACUGUCAGCUCAAUGCCAUAUACAUCCUUACCCCGCCGUAAAACCUAGCGAGUUCGGUAGGUCUUGCGCAAGGGGGAAUCGAUACAGGUUCGCAAUCUUAAUAAGCAUUUUGAACCAUCGACAUCACCCGUGGCUGGCAAAUGCUCCUUAAUCAAACAAUGGAAAUUGUGUAGCACGUUGCAUUGCAUUUUACCUUAAAAAAAAACCAAAAAGGUAUCUGUUUAAGAUUUGUGUUGUAUCCCGCCCCCUACUUUAAAAUAACAGUGUUGUCUUUUUUUUCUUUUUUACGGUUCGUAACACCCUUCUGUUACUGAUAAUAGCUUCAGAUGCCAACACCACUGCCAGUAAGGGAAAACUUGCUUCCAUUAUGGAUUGAGUGGGUUACAGCUGAUCAGCCCUGUUGCUUUGGCCCAGAGGACCUUUGCAGGAACAACUGUUGCCUGGCAAUUGGCAGGUGCCAGCAGGAGAAGCUUGCGUCCAUCAUGGGUUGAAUGAGAUCCAGUUGCUCAGUCCUCUUCCCUUACAUCGGAGAACACCAAUGAAGGCCAAGCUUGAAUGCAGGAAAAGCCACCUGCGUAACCCCGUAGUGGCAUUUCUUAAGUAACAUUUUUAUUGUGAGAAUUGUUUUUUGUAAGCUGCUUGGAGAGCAUCCCAGGGUUAUGAAGUGAGAUAAAAGCAUUAUAAAUACUAUUCCUGGGUGUUUUAUUUGUUUGUUUGUUUUGCUUAAGUAUGAGGUGCAUUUACUGAUAUUAGUAUCCAUGCUUCCAGUUCUUGCUUCUUUAAAGG